rnacentral:ncRNA from 1 species
GCUUGAGAAAGGCAAACCGUACUGAAAAGACGGGACGCAAAGUUACUGACCUAAGUCUUCAUGGCAGGAUAGGGUGGCAGAACCGCCGGG